AGUGAACGCUGGCGGUAGGCCUAACACAUGCAAGUCGAACGGCAGCACAGUAAGAGCUUGCUCUUACGGGUGGCGAGUGGCGGACGGGUGAGGAAUACAUCGGAAUCUACUUUUUCGUGGGGGAUAACGUAGGGAAACUUACGCUAAUACCGCAUACUACCUACGGGUGAAAGCAGGGGAUCUUCGGACUUUGCGCGAUUGAAUGAGCCGAUGUCGGAUUAGCUAGUUGGCGGGGUAAAGGCCCACCAAGGCGACGAUCCGUAGCUGGUCUGAGAGGAUGAUCAGCCACACUGGAACUGAGACACGGUCCAGACUCCUACGGGAGGCAGCAGUAGGGAAUAUUGCGCAAUGGGCGAAAGCCUGAUCCAGCCAUGCCGCGUGAGUGAAGAAGGCCUUCGGAUUGUAAAACCCUUUUAUUAGGAAAGAAAAGCAGCAGAUUAAUACCCCGCUGUUCUGACGGUACCCAAAGAGAAAGCAACGGCUAACUUCGUG
rnacentral:rRNA from 1 species